rnacentral:rRNA from 1 species
AACGAACGCUGGCGGCAUGCCUAACACAUGCAAGUCGAACGAGACCUUCGGGUCUAGUGGCGAACGGGUGCGUAACGCGUGGGAACCUGCCCUUAGGUUCGGAAUAACUCCCCGAAAGGGGUGCUAAUACCGGAUAAUGUCUUCGGACCAAUGAUUUAUCGCCUUUGGAUGGGCCCGCGUUGGAUUAGCUAGUUGGUAGGGUAAAAGCCCACCAAGGCGACGAUCCAUAGCUGGUCUGAGAGGAUGACCAGCCACACUGGGACUGAGACACGGCCCAGACUCCUACGGGUGGCAGCAGUGGGGAAUAUUGGACAAUGGGCGAAAGCCGGAGCCAGCAAUGCCGCGUGAGUCAUGAAGUCGUUAGGGUUGUAAAGCUCUGUUACCCGGGAUGAUAAUGACGGUACCGGGAGAAUAAGAUCCGGCUAACUCCGUG